UUACCUGUCAGCCUGGACGAAUGUGCUGUGUGAAGGAAAUUAAAUUAAAUCAGAUCUGAACUGCGUACAUUUGAGGAACCUGUUCAUAUUUAAUAUGAACCAGUGAUUUUUUGAUUGCUGAUUCCAAGAGAGUCUUUGUGGAAAUCCUGUUUGGCUUUUUGUUAUUUUAAUUCUCUUCUCUGUUUUCCAGAACAGUUCUCCACAGUCGCUGUCCACAUGGGUCAGUGGGACCAAGAAGCACUCUGCUAAUGUGGGACUCUGACCAGCAACAUCCAGCAAGACCCAGACAGCGUUUUCUAUCUCCCAGCUGGAGUUUUUGUUUGUCUGUGACUGGAGAGUCAGAUUUUUGUUGAGCUUCACACUUGCAGAGGUUAAUACACUCUACUGAUCCCUGAUGGGAGAAUCAUCAAUUUUGGCAA